GACGAACGCUGGCGGCGUGCUUAACACAUGCAAGUCGAACGGAAAGGCCCUGUUUUUGUGGGGUGCUCGAGUGGAGAACGGGUGAGUAACACGUGAGUAACCUGCCCUUGACUUUGGGAUAACUUAAGGAAACUGGGGCUAAUACCGGAUAGGAGCUCUUGCUGCAUGGUGGGGGUUGGAAAGUUUCGCCGGUUGGGGAUGGACUCGCGGCCUAUCAGCUUGUUGGUGGGGUGGUGGCUUAACAAGGCUUGGACGGGUAGCCGGCCUGCGAGGGUGACAGGCCACAUUGGGCCUGGGAUGGGGCCCGGACUGCUACGGGAGGCAGCGGUGGGGGAUAUAGCACAAUGGGCGGAGGCCUGAUGCAACAACGCCGCGUGCGGGAUGACGGCCUUCGGGUUGGAAAGCGCUUUCGCCUGGGACGAAGCGUGAGUGACGGUAAUGGGUAAAGAAGCACCGGCUAACUACGUG
rnacentral:rRNA from 1 species